UCAAGCUAAAAAGAGCGCAAGGGGAAUGCCUUGGCAUCAGGAGCCGAAGAAGGACGUGACAAGCUGCGAUAAGCUGCGGUGAGGAGCAAAUAUCCUUUGACCCGCAGAUCUCCGAAUGGGGCAACCCGGCUGGACAAUAUCCAGUCAUCCUGCAUUGAACAAAAUAGGUGUAGGAAGGGAACCGUCUGAACUGAAACAUCUAAGUAGGACGAGGAAGAGACAUCAACCGAGAUUCCGCAAGUAGUGGCGAGCGAACGCGGAGGAGGCCAAACCGGAGGAAUAAUUCUCCGGGGUUGCGGACAGUCAUUUAGCAGAAGAUAUCUAACCGAAGGGUCUGGGAAGGCCCACCACAGAGGGUGAGAGUCCCGUAGGUGAAAGAGAAGGCUGUGAGACUGAAUCCAGAGUACCGCAGGACACGUGAAACCCUGCGGGAAACAGGGGGGACCACCCUCCAAGCCUAAAUACUACCUGAUGACCGAUAGAGGAGCAGUACCGUGAGGGAAAGGUGAAAAGGACCCCGGGAGGGGAGUGAAAGAGAACCUGAAACCUUGUGCUUACAAGCAGUCAGAGCGCGUUAAAGCGUGAUGGCGUACUUUUUGUAGAACGGUCCGGCGAGUUAUAGUAACGAGCAAGCUUAAGGUAUUCAGUACCGGAGGCGCAGCGAAAGCGAGUCUGAAAAGGGCGCAUGAAGUUCGUUGCCAUAGACCCGAAACCGGGUGACCUACGCAUGAGCAGGUUGAAGUGGGGGUGAAACCCCAUGGAGGACCGAACCGACCCCCGUUGCAAUGGUGGCGGAUGACUUGUGUGUAGCGGUGAAAUUCCAAUCGAACUCGGAGAUAGCUGGUUCUCCCCGAAAUAGCUUUAGGGCUAGCGUUGUGUUAGAUUACCGGAGGUAAAGCACUGAAUGGUUUAGGGGCUGAUAAAGUUACCGACGCCUAUCAAACUCUGAAUGCCGGAUAAUUGAUGCACAGCAGUCAGACAGUGUGAGAUAAGUUUCAUUGUCAAAAGGGAAACAGCCCAGACCUACAGCUAAGGUCCCAAAUGUAUGCUAAGUGGAAAACGAUGUGGAAUUGCGAAAACAACCAGGAUGUUGGCUCAGAAGCAGCCACACAUUAAAAGAGUGCGUAAUAGCUCACUGGUCGAGUGACUCUGCGCGGAAAAUGUAACGGGGCUAAGCAUACAACCGAAGCUUAGGAUUGUCAAAAGACAGUGGUAGGGGAGCGUUCUGUAUGGGGCGAAGUCGCAGCGGGAGCAGCGGUGGACUGUACAGAAGUGAGAAUGCCGGAAUGAGUAGCGAGAAUUAUGUGGGAAUCAUAAUGGCCGAAAAUCUAAGGUUUCUUGGGGAAGGUUCGUCCGCCCAAGGUAAGUCGGGAGCUAAGCUCAGGCCGAGAGGCGUAGGCGAUGCACAUACGGUAGAAAUUCCGUAACCACCGAACUUUAAGCAUGAGGGACACUUUGAGAUAGCGGGACCCGGGCGUUGGUAGACCCGGGCGAAAGGGACCGAAAUAUAGUAGGGAAGUCCGCGAUGCUCGGAGGCGAGAAAAGCUCAUGUGUAUACUAAGGUGCCCGUACCGCAAACCGACACAGGUAGAUGAGGAGAGAAUCCUAAGGCCAACGGGAGAAGGGUUGUUAAGGAACUCGGCAAGAUGACCCCGUAACUUCGGAAGAAGGGGAGCCUCGAAAGAGGCCGCAGUGAAUAGGCCCAAGCAACUGUUUACCAAAAACACAGGUUUAUGCUAAAUCGAAAGAUGACGUAUAUGAGCUGACGCCUGCCCGGUGCCGGAAGGUUAAGAGGAGAUGUCAACCGCAAGGUGAAGCAUUGAAUUGAAGCCCCGGUAAACGGCGGCCGUAACUAUAACGGUCCUAAGGUAGCGAAAUUCCUUGUCAGGUAAGUUCUGACCCGCACGAAAGG
rnacentral:rRNA from 1 species